ACAUACCUACAUCAUAGCGUUAACGCACCAGAUCCCAUUCGAGCUCCAUAGUUAAGUGCGCUCAAGCUAGAAUAGUACUAGGAUGGGUGACCACUCGAGAAGUCCUACUAUUUUACAUGCC
rfam:Picea glauca, whole genome shotgun sequence.